UUUUCAAGUAGAAGGAUUUUAAAUUAGCAAAAAUAAACUUUUCAAGUAGAAUGGUACUCCAGAAAAGUUUGGUUGAAAAGUUUGGGUGAAAAAUAGUUAUUCGGCCUUCAAAUCCUACGCAGAAUUAAAAUGACAGCCAAGAAGAUUUCGUAAGUGACAGACAUGUUACUCUGUUCCAAGUUCCGGAAGAAGAGGCUAGACCAUCUCGCCGUGAAUAUCCAAGCAGAACGCUAAGUUUCAUCAGCGACGCCUGAAAGAUAAUAUGAAAACGAUAUUUAAAAUAAUAUCAAGCGGGAGAUGGCCGUGGACGAGGUGGUGGUGGAGGUGGUGGAGGUGCGGAGUUAUGAUAAUUGGAGCGUUGAUAAGUACACAAUUAGCUUACGGCGGCGGCGGCAGCAGCAAUGCUUUUAUUUCCAAGGACGAAGACGUUCCGGUAUCUCGUAUAGCUUUCGGAUCUUGUGCCGACCAAAGCGCUCCUCAGCCCAUAUGGAAUGCAAUUAUCGAAUUUGAUCCACAAGUUUUCAUUUGGCUGGGGGACAAUAUAUACGGAGACAUUAAACGCCCUUUUAAACUAUUUGGAAGAGAAAGGACAAUUGGCCCUUGGAAGAAUGUUCUAAGGUUUGCUCCUACUUCCCAGGAGGAACUUGAAUCCAGAUACAGCAUAAUCAAGAAUAAUCCUGAUUAUUCUCAUCUUCGUAAGACUUCUAAGGUAAUUGGUACAUGGGAUGACCAUGAUUAUGGACUAAAUGAUGCCGGCAAAGAAUUUCCACACAAAGUCCGUAACCAAAGGCUUUCCCUUGAUUUCUUGGAUGAACCUCAAGAUAGUCCACGCCGCAAGCAAGCUGGCAUCUAUACAUCAUAUAUGUUUGGCCCCGUGGGUAAACAGAUCAAGAUAAUCCUCUUGGACACUAGAUACCACAGAGACCCUUUGAAUAGUGAUGGAAGUAUCUUGGGAAGUGCACAAUGGACAUGGUUGGAAAAAGAGUUGAAGGGUCCACCUUCUGCCAUUACCAUAAUUGGAUCUUCCAUUCAGGUUGUAUCAAAUCUUUCAGCGACCACUGGGCCGUUGUUCGAUAUGGAGUCUUGGGGACGUUUUCCAAAAGAGAGGGAUCGCCUUUUUAAAUUAAUAGCGGAUAGUAAGAGAGACGGAGUCUUCUUUAUCAGUGGAGAUGUUCAUUUUGGAGAAAUUACACGGUAUGAUUGUGCUGUUGAAUAUCCAUUGUAUGAUGUUACUUCAAGUGGGCUUACACAAGCUGUUGAAAAGGUUGUCCCAUCACCAUUACAUUUCAUAGUGAGAUUUCUGGCAUGGUUGACACCAAACACAAUGAGAGUUAUGGACCGAAAUUGCAGACACAGAUCAUGCACAUAUGGCCUUCCAAAUUUUGGAACCAUUGAGAUAGACUGGAAUGCAACUCCAGUGGCACUGAAAAUUGCAGUGCGGGAUAUGAACGGAUUUCCUGUUACAGGUGUAGAUAUUUUAUUAUCAGAACUUCAAGCAAAAACUGUAAAUUCUGUGGCCAGUAUUAAAGUGGGAGAACAGAGGAAGCAUUGUUCUCUUGAAGUUGAUCUUCCAUGGAUCGUCAGAUACCGCCUGGCUAUUUUCUUCUUUUUUGUUUUGCUUCUUGCUUUGGUGGGACUCAAUAUUUUAGCUGCAUCACUGAUCAGGCUAGCUCUUCGCAAAUGCAAGCUUGACUGACCAUAUGAUUGAUCUCUGUAUCAUGAUUUACGCCCCUAAAUAACCAUGUUGACUCACUGAUCAGUUUUGCAUGGACCAUAGUAGAUGGCUUGACUUUCAAGAUCAAUACCGAUCCAGAAGUCAUCUAUCCACACGGGUACAUGGAACAUUUAGUUGUUUAGAUUCAGAGUACUUCCGGAUUAACCUGUCUACACUGAAGAGUGACGUUUAUCAGGGGUGGAUAUAAAUCUAACUGCGUUCACACACUCCUUAAUUUAAAUUUAAA